AAAAAGAUGUGUUUGGAUUAGAGUUAUUUAUCCAACAAGUGAGUUUAUGGCAGUGAAUGAAAAAAGGCAUGAAGGUACUUGCGAGUACAUACCAGUCCAAAAGUUAUCCACUGUUUCAUGCUGAGGAUUUCGGGGGCCUCUUCUUUUGCUUCGCACUCCUUCCUUAGCAGUGCGAAGCGCAGCUUUCAAGUGUUCCGCUACAUCCUUGCGGGACGGCCUUAGGAAGUGCCUAUUCCGGAGCACGGCAUCUAAAAAUCAAAUCACGAACAAUUCUUGUCUCGCAAAGUGCGAGAUUGUUAUCUUCGCGGCCCAACCAGGAAUAAGAUGUUAGCAAGCAGUCAC